rnacentral:rRNA from 1 species
UACGGAGGGCGCAAGCGUUAUCCGGAUUUAUUGGGCGUAAAGCGCGUCUAGGUGGUUUGGUAAGUCUGAUGUGAAAAUGCGGGGCUCAACUCCGUAUUGCGUUGGAAACUGGCAAACUAGAGUACUGGAGAGGUGGGUGGAACUUCAAGUGUAGCGGUGAAAUUCGUAGAGAUCUGGAGGAAUGCCGAUGGCGAAGGCAGCCCCCUGGACAGAUACUGACGCUGAGGCGCGAAAGCGUGGGUAGCAAACAGG